rnacentral:rRNA from 1 species
CCUACGGGAGGCAGCAGUGAGGAAUAUUGGUCAAUGGGCGCGAGCCUGAACCAGCCAAGUCGCGUGAGGGAAGACGGCCCUACGGGUUGUAAACCUCUUUUGCCGGGGAGCAACGGGCGCCACGUGUGGCGCCACUGAGAGUACCCGGAGAAAAAGCAUCGGCUAACUCCGUGCCAGCAGCCGCGGUAAUACGGGGGAUGCGAGCGUUAUCCGGAUUUAUUGGGUUUAAAGGGUGCGUAGGCGGAGCGUUAAGUCAGUGGUAAAAUUGAGGGGCUCAACCCCGGCCCGCCAUUGAAACUGGGGAUCUUGAGUGGAAGAGAAGGAUGCGGAAUGCGUGGUGUAGCGGUGAAAUGCAUAGAUAUCACGCAGAACCCCGAUUGCGAAGGCAGCAUGCCGGCUUCCGACUGGCGCUGAAGCACGAAAGCGUGGGGAUCGAACAGGAUUAGAUACCCGGGUAGUC